rnacentral:rRNA from 1 species
AUUGAACGCUAGCGGGAUGCUUUACACAUGCAAGUCGAACGAGGGGCGGACGGGUGAGUAAUAUCUCGGAACGUGCCCAGGAGAGGGGGAUAACUACUCGAAAGGGUGGCUAAUACCGCAUACUAUUGGAGCGGCCGGUAUCGGUUUAGCUAGUUGGUGGGAUAGGCUCACCAAGGCAACGAUCCGUAGCUGGUUUUAGAGGACGACCAGCCACACUGGGACUGAGACACGGCCCAGACUCCUACGGGAGGCAGAAGUGGGGAAUUUUGGACAAUGGGGGAAACCCUGAUCCAGCCAUCCCGCGUGUAUGAGAAGGCCUUCGGGUUGUAAAGGACUUUCGGCAGAGAAGCGGUAUCUGCAGAAUAAGCACCGGCUAACUACGUGCCAGCAGCCGCGGUAAUAC